rnacentral:rRNA from 1 species
GGAGUUAGCCGGUGCUUCUUCUGUGAGUGAUGUCCUUCCUGCCGGUUAUUGACCCGCAGGCCUUCUUCCUCACUGAAAGUGCUUUACAACCCGAAGGCCUUCUUCACACACGCGGCAUGGCUGGAUCAGGGUUGCCCCCAUUGUCCAAUAUUCCCCACUGCUGCCUCCCGUAGGAGUCUGGGCCGUGUCUCAGUCCCAGUGUGGCUGAUCAUCCUCUCAGACCAGCUACGGAUCGUCGCCUUGGUGAGCCGUUACCUCACCAACCAGCUAAUCCGACAUAGGCUCAUCCGAUAGCGCGAGGACCGAAGGUCCCCCGCUUUCCCCCGUAGGGCGUAUGCGGUAUUAGCCUGGGUUUCCCCAGGUUAUCCCCCACUACCGGGCAGAUUCCUAUGCAUUACUCACCCGUCCGCCGCUCGCCACCAGGGAGCAAGCUCCCCGUGCUGCCGCUCGACUUGCAUGUGUUAGGCCUGCCGCCAGCGUUCAAUCUAAGCCAUGAUCAAACUCUGA